AUUAGAUACCCGUCUAUUCAUAAUAUAAAAAAUUAUAGUUGGGUAAUACGAAUUUAAGUUUAAAACUCAAAGAUUUUGGCGGUGUCUUAACAAACCAGGGGAACCUGUCUCAUAACUCGAUAGUCCACGAAGAUACUACCUUUAUUUGAAUUACUUUCAGCUUGUAUACUGCCGUCGUAAGUGAACCUCUAAAAGAUCUUUAAGUACACAAUUAUAAUAAACUUAUAUUUACGUCAGGUCAUAGUGCAGCUUAUAUAAAGGCCGAUGAUGGGUUACAAUCAUUAUAAAGACACGUAAAAAUAUUUUAAUUUAAUAUUAAGAAGGUGGACUUAGUUGUAAUUGUAUACAUAGAAAUAAAAUGAAACUGAAUCUAAGACAUGCACACAUCGCCCGUCACUCCCACCUAAAGGUGAGAUAAGUCGUAAC
rnacentral:rRNA from 1 species